rnacentral:rRNA from 1 species
CCUACGGGGGGCAGCAGUGGGGAAUAUUGGGCAAUGGGCGCAAGCCUGACCCAGCAACGCCGCGUGAAGGAAGAAGGCUUUCGGGUUGUAAACUUCUUUUGUCAGGGAAGAGUAGAAGACGGUACCUGACGAAUAAGCCACGGCUAACUACGUGCCAGCAGCCGCGGUAAUACGUAGGUGGCAAGCGUGGUCCGGAUUUACUGGGUGUAAAGGGCGUGUAGCCGGGUUGACAAGUCAGAUGUGAAAUCCUGCGGCCUAACCGCAGAACUGCAUUUGAAAAUGUUUAUCUUGAGUACUGGAGAGGCAGACGGAAUUCCUAGUGUAGCGGUGAAAUGCGUAGAUAUUAGGAGGAACACCAGUGGCGAAGGCGGUCUGCUGGACAGCAACUGACGGUGAGGCGCGAAAGCGUGGGGAGCAAACAGGAUUAGAUACCCGUGUAGUC